rnacentral:rRNA from 1 species
AUUGAACGCUGGCGGCAUGCUUUACACAUGCAAGUCGAACGGCAGCACAGGGAGCUUGCUCCCGGGUGGCGAGUGGCGCACGGGUGAGUAAUACAUCGGAACGUGUCCUGUUGUGGGGGAUAACUGCUCGAAAGGGUGGCUAAUACCGCAUGAGACCUGAGGGUGAAAGCGGGGGAUCGCAAGACCUCGCGCAAUUGGAGCGGCCGAUGCCCGAUUAGCUAGUUGGUGAGGUAAAGGCUCACCAAGGCGACGAUCGGUAGCUGGUCUGAGAGGACGACCAGCCACACUGGGACUGAGACACGGCCCAGACUCCUACGGGAGGCAGCAGUGGGGAAUUUUGGACAAUGGGGGCAACCCUGAUCCAGCCAUGCCGCGUGCAGGAUGAAGGCCUUCGGUUGUAACUGCUUUGUUCAGGGACGGAUAAUGACGGUACCGUAACAAGAAGACACCGGCGUAACUACGUG